GAUGAACGCUAGCGGCAGGCUUAACACAUGCAAGUCGAGGGGCAGUACGGGUAGCAAUACUUGGUGGCGACCGGCGCAAGGGUGAGUAACGCGUGGGCAACCUGCCCUAGAGACUGGGAUAACAUCCCGAAAGGGAUGCUAAUACCGGAUAUGCUCUUAGUGUUGCAUGACACAGAGAGGAAAGAAAUUCGCUCUAGGAUGGGCCCGCGUCCCAUUAGCUAGUUGGUGAGGUAACGGCUCACCAAGGCCACGAUGGGUAGCCGGUCUGAGAGGAUGAACGGCCACACUGGAACUGAGACACGGUCCAGACUCCUACGGGAGGCAGCAGUGGGGAAUCUUCCGCAAUGGACGAAAGUCUGACGGAGCAACGCCGCGUGGGUGAUGAAGGUUUUCGGAUUGUAAAGCCCUGUCUGGAGGGAAGAAAUAUUGACGGUACCUCCGGAGGAAGCCCCGGCUAACUACGUG
rnacentral:rRNA from 1 species